UACCAGCACCCCGAGUGGUCGGGACGUUUAUUGGGCCUAAAGCAUCCGUAGCCGGUUCUACAAGUCUUCCGUUAAAUCCAACUGCUUAACAGGUGGGCUGCGGAAGAUACUAUAGAGCUAGGAGGCGGGAGAGGCAAGCGGUACUCGAUGGGUAGGGGUAAAAUCCGUUGAUCCAUUGAAGACCACCAGUGGCGAAGGCGGCUUGCCAGAACGCGCUCGACGGGUGAGGGAUGAAAGCUGGGGGAGCAAACCGG
rnacentral:rRNA from 1 species